rnacentral:rRNA from 1 species
GACGUAGGGGGCGAGCGUUGUCCGGAGUUACUGGGCGUAAAGGGCGCGCAGGCGGUCGCGUGGGCCAUCGCGUGAAAGCCCCCGGCUCAACCGGGCGGUGGCGGGUGGGACCGCGCGGCUGGAGGGUGGUAGGGGCCAGUGGAAUUCCCGGUGUAGUGGUGAAAUGCGUAGAUACCGGGAGGAACACCCGCAGCGAAGGCGGCUGGCUGGGCCAUUCCUGACGCUGAGGCGCGGAAGGCUCGGGGAGCCGAACGG